rnacentral:rRNA from 1 species
UACGUAGGGUGCAAGCGUUGUCCGGAAUUAUUGGGCGUAAAGAGCUCGUAGGCGGUCUGUCGCGUCGGCUGUGAAAUCCCGAGGCUCAACCUCGGGUCUGCAGUCGAUACGGGCAAACUGGAGUGUUGCAGGGGAGACUGGAAUUCCUGGUGUAGCGGUGAAAUGCGCAGAUAUCAGGAGGAACACCCGUGGCGAAAGCGGCUCUCUGGAACGGUACUGACGCUGAGACGCGAAAGCGUGGGGAGCGAACAGG